AGAGAUUGCAUCGAAUACAUAUUCACAAAACGAAGUAGAUGUCUAGUAUGAUAUAAUUCAUUGUAUCGAUGGAAGACAAAAUUGGGAAAAAUAUGAAAACAAGAGGCCGUCACAACGACAGCAAACCGGAUUUAUUAAUAUUUAUUUGUGUCCUGGCAAUAUCACAAGAACCAUUACUGAUGAAUGGUGAAAGUGCAAAUCGUCAAUAUCAAAUUUGACCUCCAUUUUGUCAUCAGUAUCAACAUAUUAAAAUUUGAAAAGCUUAGAUUGAAUGGUUCAUGAGUAAAUGCAACAACGUGAAUAGAAACGCCAUUUUACAAUCUUUCAAGAACCAUAACGCCUGAACGGUAAAAGUCAAAAUCGUCAUUAUUGAACCUGACCUCUAUUUUGUCAUCAGUAACAACAUAUAAAAAUUUCAAAAGCUUUGGUUGAAUGGUUCAUGAGAAAAUGCACGGACACGACAGGAAACACCAUUUUUCAAUCUUUCAAGAACCAUAACUCCUGAACGGUAAAAGUCAAAAUCGUCAUUAUUUAACUUGACCUCUAUUGUGUCAUCAGUAACAACAUAUUAAAAUUUGGGAAGCUUUGGUAGAACAGUUCAUGUGUAAAUGCACGGACACAACUGGAAACUCCAUUUUUCAAUCUUUCAAGAACCAUAACUCCUGAACGGUAAAAGUCAAAAUCGUCACUAUUGAACUUGACCUACAUUUUGUCAUCAGUAACAACAUAUUAAAAUUUGGGAAGCUUUGGUAGAACAGUUCAUACGUAAAUGCACGGACACGACUGGAAACUCCAU
rnacentral:lncRNA from 1 species